rnacentral:misc_RNA from 1 species
UUAGUUUAUUUAACUUAUUCUCAGAUUUAACAUGGUUUAAAAAGAGUUCAUUAUGGCUACUGACGAGCACUGGCCGAAGGGUGGUUAAGACCUCCGACGGUCCGGUGAGAGACGGGCCCGUCAAAGCAACAUGGUAUUUAUACAAAAGGUUUGGAGAUCGAGCCUAAAAGACCCUAACUCAUUAAUGAUCCUUCCGCAGGUUCACCUACGGAAA